GCUGACCCUACAAAUAUCCAAAACUAUAAAUUUUACUCCACAAAAUACCUCCAAAACACCAUCCAUAAAUCAAUACCUACAGCCAGGAACCAUGUUUUCGGGCUCAAAGGGUUGAGGGCAAACAGUAUGGUGAGUCUUGUCCUCGUUGUGGUCUUUGCCGUUGAAUUAUACAACGUGUUGUUUGGCGGGCGAAGGAGAAGUUGAGUUUGAGCGCAGUUUUUGUAAUGCUAUGCUCAAGUAGAGGGCUCAAAUCAUUUAAAAGAUUCGUAGUACGUGAUGCCAGCGUUGAGAGAAUUAGUAGCACCAGCAGUAAACACUGCGAUGAUUACUAGACCGAUUAGAAUCCAUAACACCCCGAACAGUCGUCCGCACACUGAUUUGGGAGUUUUGUCGCCAUAUCUAAAUGAAAAUGUCAGCAGGGAAUUCAAGCUUUUCCGACACUCGGCACUGGGACAACAUCAAUUUUGUCUGUGCGUGUGCAAGUGCUUAAUAAUUCAAACACAAUUAAAAAAUGGCAGUCAUAACAUUUUUUAAAUGAUGAAAUGCGUCACACUGGGUUUGAAGUUUUAAAAAUUGAUUCUAUGAUAUUAUUUUUCGCUAGCUAUUAAUUUCCUAGCCAAAAGGCUCAUAAGCAAUAGUUCAGUUUCAGUCAGAAAAGAAACACAUAUUUUUAAACUACGGAAAUAGUGUAAAAAGGAGGGGUCACCAUACUCGGUUUCGUGCUAGACGCUGCUCAAAUAGGAUAACAUUUUGUAGAUUUUAUAACGAAAAGUGUCAACCAAAAGUUGUAAUUACAAACCUUUAUUUUCGGUUUAAAGUCAUUCUUCACAACAAAUAUACAUAUUAUUCGAAGUUUUACUAGUUAAGUUAUACUACUAAAUCUAUCGGAGUAAUAGAACGACUAUGAAUGUUGAAAUAUUAGUGAAACAUGCAAGUAUGUAUGCAUGCCUCUACGAACGUACUGUCGCACGCUUCAACUAUUCUCAUCAAAGGUAUACUUUUAGAAUACCCCUAGAAUGGUAGAAUGGUCCUAGCGCAUUGUUAACUUUAUAGUUAUUAGUUAGGGCCUGUACUUAUAGUUAUGUAAUUUUGUUUGUAAAUAUGAAUGUAAUUCUAGGUACAAUAAAACGUUAUUGUUACCCCUCAAAUCA